UGUGGUGAUGAUGGCGAGAAGGAUACACCUGUUCCCAUGUCGAACACAGAAGUUAAGCUUCUUAGCGCCGAGAGUAGUUGGGGGAUCGCU
rnacentral:rRNA from 1 species